AACGAACGCUGGCGGCGCGUCUUAACCAUGCAAGUCGAGCGGCAGGCAGCAAUGCCGAGAGCGGCGGACUGGUGAGUAACACGUGGAUAACGUACCCCGAUGUCCGGGACAGCCUGUAGAAAUAGAGGGUAAUACCGGAUAGAUCACUGUUUACGUGAGGUAGACAGCGGGAAAGGAGCUUCGGCUCCGCGACGGGAUCGGUCUGCGGCCCAUCAGCUGGACGGCGGGGUAAAGGCCCGCCGUGGCGAGGACGGGUAUCCGGCCUGAGAGGGCGGACGGACACAUUGGGACUGAGAUACGGCCCAGACUCCUACGGGAGGCAGCAGGUAAGAAUAUUCCGCAAUGGGGGGAACCCUGACGGAGCGACGCCGCGUGAACGAAGAAGGCCGGAAGGUUGUAAAGUUCUUUUCUGUGCGAGGAAUAAGUGUCGGAGGAAAUGCCGGGACGGUGACGGUAGGGCAGGAAUAAGCACCGGCUAAUUACGUG
rnacentral:rRNA from 1 species